rnacentral:lncRNA from 1 species
UAAUUCCUUGAGACGAUUAUUUUCGCGGCGCUAAUAUUCGAUGUAAAUAAAUGAUUGAAAAUCGCACAGAUACAGUAUUUCUCUUCGCUCUCCUUCAGAUGGGCUUCACCUUGUUAUUGAACUCGACAGGAGGGAACUUUUUCGCAGCACGCACACACAUUGAUGCCCAAAGAAACAGGUGACAAUCAUAUUUUUUCCACAAAAAAUAAAUAAAUAUUAUUUGUCGCUAAUUUAAUUAUUUUGCGAUCUUUUGUGUUUAUUUGCUUUGGGACUCUGUCGGGUUGGCACUGUUUACUCUUGCCAUUUCACAGAUCAUUAUGAUAUAUGGGCCAUAAUGUAAAUGGCUAACAGGGAAAUGUGUUACAACUUCGUCGAAGGACCGAUCAUCAGCGUUUUAAUAAGCAUGCACUCCUGGAUGCGGAGGUGGCAGUGGCUCCUUUUGCCAGAGUGUUGCCAUCUCUUUGAAAACUUUUCUCUUACUUAUGUAGUUGGGAUUUUUUAGGAAGGUACUAUGGCGCGAAUAGAAGUCCAUGGACCUGGCUCCAGCAGGAAGAAGUACUGCCAUACAAAGUACGAACAAAGAUAAAGCCUUUAUUAAGUAACGAGUCAUUUUUAUUACUGAGAUAUAUAGGGCCGUCACGGCACU